rnacentral:rRNA from 1 species
UACAGAGGGGGGCAAGCGUUAUUCGGAAUUAUUGGGCGUAAAGGGCGCGUAGGCGGCUUGGCAAGUGGAUGGUGAAAUCCCUCGGCUUAACCGGGGAACUGCAUCUGAUACUGGAUGGCUUGAGUUCGGGAGAGGGAUGCGGAAUUCCAGGUGUAGCGGUGAAAUGCGUAGAUAUCUGGAGGAACACCGGUGGCGAAGGCGGCAUCCUGGACCGACACUGACGCUGAGGAGCGAAAGCCAGGGGAGCAAACGGG